GAAAAUUUUAAAUACUAGCAUUAGACAAAAAAAUAAAUACAUAAAAUAACAAAGAAAGGCUUUCACAGAUAGCCCAUUAAAAAGGGUCUAUCUGAAACACACUGUAACGUAUAACCAUAACCGUUUUCAAAUCCAACAUUACAACCCAAUUAGAUAAGAUGGUUUGACUAUCAAAAACUGGGUCGGGUUGAGUUUCUCCACAACCCCCCAACCCACCACCACA
rnacentral:misc_RNA from 1 species